rnacentral:rRNA from 1 species
AUUGAACGCUGGCGGCAUGCCUCACACAUGCAAGUCGAACGGUAACGCGGGGGCAACCCCUGGCGACGAGUGGCGAACGGGUGAGUAAUACAUCGGAACGUACCCAGUAGUGGGGGAUAGCUCGGCGAAAGCCGGAUUAAUACCGCAUACGACCUAUGGGUGAAAGCGGGGGAUCGCAAGACCUCGCGCUAUUGGAGCGGCCGAUGUCGGAUUAGCUAGUUGGUGAGGUAAAGGCUCACCAAGGCUACGAUCCGUAGCUGGUCUGAGAGGACGACCAGCCACACCGGGACUGAGACACGGCCCAGACUCCUACGGGAGGCAGCAGUGGGGAAUUUUGGACAAUGGGCGAAAGCCUGAUCCAGCCAUGCCGCGUGUGUGAAGAAGGCCU